GACGAACGCUGGCGGCGUGCUUAACACAUGCAAGUCACGGGGGUUGGAGCAAUCCAGCAACCGGCGAACGGGUGCGUAACACGUGAGCGACCUGCCCAGUUGUGGGGGAUAGCCGGCCCAACGGCCGGGUAAUACCGCAUACGCGUCUUUGGGGGCAUCCCUGGGGACGGAAACCUACGGGGCGAUUGGAGGGGCUCGCGGCCUAUCAGCUAGUUGGCGAGGUAACGGCUCACCAAGGCGAUGACGGGUAGCUGGUCUGAGAGGAUGGCCAGCCACAUUGGGACUGAGAGACGGCCCAGACUCCUACGGGAGGCAGCAGUGGGGAAUCUUGCGCAAUGGCCGAAAGGCUGACGCAGCGACGCCGCGUGUGUGAAGAAGGCCCUAGGGUUGUAAAGCACUUUCAAUGGGGAGGAAAAGAGUAGGCAAAUACCCUGCUUAUUGACAUUACCCAUACAAGAAGCACCGGCUAACUCCGUGCCAGCAGCCGCGGUAAUGUCUGUACU
rnacentral:rRNA from 1 species